rnacentral:rRNA from 1 species
UUCCGGUUGAUCCUGCCAGAGGUUACUGCUAUCGAGGUUCGACUAAGCCAUGCGAGUCGAAUGUAGCAAUACAUGGCGAACUGCUCAGUAACACGUGGACAACCUGCCCUUAGGUUGGGUAUAAACCCGGGAAACUGGGUAUAAUACCCGAUAGGUCUCGAUUGCUGGAAUGCAUCGAGAUUUAAAGCUCCGGCGCCUAAGGAUGGGUCUGCGGCCUAUCAGGUAGUAGUGGGUGUAAUGUACCUACUAGCCAGCGACGGGUACGGGUUGUGAGAGCAAGAGCCCGGAGAUGGAUUCUGAGACAUGAAUCCAGGCCCUACGGGGCGCAGCAGGCGCGAAAACUUUACAAUGCGGGAAACCGUGAUAAGGGGACACCGAGUGCCAGCAUCAUAUGCUGGCUGUCCGGAUGUGUAAAAUACAUCCGUUAGCAAGGGCCGGGCAAGACCGGUGCCAGCCGCCGCGGUAACACCGGCGGCCCGAGUGGUAACCGCUUUUAUCGGGUCUAAAGGGUCUGUAGCCGGCCAAGUAAGUCCCUUGGGAAAUCUGGCAGCUUAACUGUCAGGCUGCUAGGGGAUACUGCUAGGCUUGGGACCGGGAGAGGUGAGGGGUACCUUGGGGGUAGGGGUGAAAUCUUGUGAUCCUCGGGGGACCACCAGUGGCGAAGGCGUCUCACCAGAACGGGUCCGACGGUAAGGGACGAAAGCUGGGGGCACGAACCAGAUUAGAUACCCGGGUAGUCCUAGCCGUAAACGAUGCUCGCUAGGUGUCAGUCACGGUGCGACCGUGAUUGGUGCCGUAGGGAAGCCGUGAAGCGAGCCACCUGGGAAGUAUGGCCGCAAGGCUGAAACUUAAAGGAAUUGGCGGGGGAGCACUACAACGGGUGGAGCCUGCGGUUUAAUUGGAGUCAACGCCGGGA